GUUGAACGCUGGCGGCCAGCUUAACACAUGCAAGUUGAGCGGGCGAGGUUGCUUCGGUAACUGAGCUAGCGGCGGACGGGUGAGUAAAGCUUAGGAAUUUGCCUAUUAGUGGGGGACCACCUUUUGAAAGGGAUGCUUAUACCGCAUAAGUCCUAAGGGAGAAAGCAGGGGAUCACUUGUGACCCUGCGGUAAUAGAUGAGCCUAAGUUGGAUUAGCUAGUUGGUGGGGUAAAGGCCUACCAAGGCGACGAUCUGUAGCGGGUUUGAGAGGAUGAUCCGCCACACUGGGACUGAGACACGGCCCCGACUCCUACGGGAGGCAGCAGUGGGGAAUAUUGGACAAUGGGGGGAACCCUGAUCCAGCCCUGCCGCGUGUGUGAAGAAGGCCUUUUGGUUGUAAAGCACUUUAAGUGGGGAGGAGGCUCUUUUGGUUAAUACCUGAGAAGAGUGGACGUUACCAAGAGAAUAAGCACCGGCUAACUUUGUG
rnacentral:rRNA from 1 species